CUUAACCCACUGAGCCACCCAGGCACCCCCUGAAUGAUUUUCUCAUGGCUGUUAAUUUGGAACGGUCCCUGGGUACAAGGAGACAAGCGUCCUCCCCAGUCAGGAAGGCCCAGGGUCUCUACCCAUCCCCUGUGGCUCCUCUUCCCCAGAAAUGGCUGGGUCUCCACCGAGGGCGUGGCUGGUGGCAACUCAGGAGGGC